ncrna:Saccoglossus kowalevskii microRNA sko-mir-278 precursor
UGAUCCGAAGGAAUGAAAGUCUCGUCUAAUCGUGAUAUUAAUCGAGAUCGGUGGGACUUUCGUUCGUUUGGAAGA